rnacentral:sRNA from 1 species
GCCGGGUGUGGUGGUGCGCGCCUGUAAUCCCAGCUACUCGGGAGGCUGAGGCAGGAGAAUCGCUUGAACCUGGGAGGCAGAGGUUGCAGUGAGCCAAGAUCGCACCACUGCAUUCCAUCCUAGGCGACAGAGUAAGACUCUGUCUCAA